rnacentral:rRNA from 1 species
ACGAAGGCAGCAGUAGGGAAUAUUGGUCAAUGGGGGAAACCCUGAACCAGCGACGCCGCGUGAGUGAAGAAGUAUUUCGGUAUGUAAAGCUCUAUCAGCAGGGACGAUAAUGACGGUACCUGACUAAGAAGCCCCGGCUAACUACGUGCCAGCAGCCGCGGUAAUACGUAGGGGGCAAGCGUUAUCCGGAUUUACUGGGUGUAAAGGGAGCGUAGGUGGCCAUGCAAGUCAGAUGUGAAAACCCGGGGCUCAACCCCGUGACUGCAUUUGAAACUGCGUGGCUGGAGUACAGGAGAGGUAAGCGGAAUUCCUAGUGGAGCGGUGAAAUGCGUAGAUAUUAGGAGGAACACCAGUGGCGAAAGCGGCUUACUGGACUGAAACUGACACUGAGGCUCGAAAGCGUGGGGAGCAAACAGGAUUAGAUACCCUGGUA